GAUGAACGCUGGCGGCGUGCCUAAUACAUGCAAGUCGAGCGAACAGAUGAGGAGCUUGCUCCUCUGACGUUAGCGGCGGACGGGUGAGUAACACGUGGAUAACCUACCUAUAAGACUGGGAUAACUUCGGGAAACCGGAGCUAAUACCGGAUAAUAUAUUGAACCGCAUGGUUCAAUAGUGAAAGACGGUUUUGCUGUCACUUAUAGAUGGAUCCGCGCCGCAUUAGUUAGUUGGUAAGGUAACGGCUUACCAAGGCAACGAUGGGUAGCCGACAUGAGAGGGUGUUCGGCCACACUGGAACUGAAACACGGUCCAGCCUACUACGGGAGGCAGCAGUAGUGAAUCUUCCGCAAUGGGCGAAAGCCUGACAGAGCAACGCCACGUGAGUGAUGAAGGUCUUCGGAUCGUAAAACUCUGUUAUUAGGGAAGAACAAAUGUGUAAGUAACUAUGCACGUCUUGACGGUACCUAAUCAGAAAGCCACGGCUAACUACGUG
rnacentral:rRNA from 1 species